rnacentral:rRNA from 1 species
UUGGAGGGCAAGUCUGGUGCCAGCAGCCGCGGUAAUUCCAGCUCCAAUAGCGUAUAUUAAAGUUGUUGCAGUUAAAAAGCUCGUAGUUGAAUUUCGGGAUCAAUAUAUCGGUCAUGCUUAAGUAUGUACUGGUAUUAUUGAUUUCUCCCUUCUGAAGAACCAUGAUGUCAUUUAUUUGAUGUCGUGGGGAAUCAGGACUGUUACUUUGAAAAAAUUAGAGUGUUUAAAGCAGGCUUUCGCUUGAAUACAUUAGCAUGGAAUAAUGAAAUAGGAUGUUUGAUUCUAUUUUGUUGGUUUCUAGGAUCGACGUAAUGAUUAAUAGGGAUAGUUGGGGGCAUUAGUAUUCAAUUGUCAGAGGUGAAAUUCUUGGAUUUAUUGAAGACUAACUACUGCGAAAGCAUUUGCCAAGGAUGUUUUCAUUAAUCAAGAACGAAAGUUAGGGGAUCGAAGACGAUCAGAUACCGUCGUAGUCUUAACCAUAAACUAUGCCGACUAGGGAUCGGAUGAUGUUAAUUUUUUAAUGACUCAUUCGGCGCCUUACGGGAAACCAAAGUGUUUGGGUUC